GGGGAAAUAGUCUAAGUUGGUAAAACUGCGAUUUUGCAUAUCGUUAUUCCGGGUUCAAGUCCUGGUUUCUCCA
rnacentral:tRNA from 1 species